AAGUCGUAACAAGGUCUCCGUAGGUGAACCUGCGGAGGGAUCAUUACUGAGUGAGGGCCUUCGGGCUCGACCUCCAACCCUUUGUGAACACAACUUGUUGCUUCGGGGGCGACCCUGCCGUUUCGACGGCGAGCGCCCCCGGAGACCUUCAAACACUGCAUCUUUGCGUCGGAGUUUAAGUAAAUUAAACAAAACUUUCAACAACGGAUCUCUUGGUUCUG
rnacentral:misc_RNA from 1 species